CGAGCGAACACGGAAGAGCCCAGCGCUGAAUCCCCCGGUCCGGUUCGGGCCGGCGGGAAAUGUAGCGUUAGGGAGCGCCCGUCAACCCGGUGCGCGCGCGGCGAGCCCAAGUCUCCCUUGAACGGUGCCACAAUCCAUAGAGGGUCCCAGGCCCGUACGGCCGCCGCCGCGCCCGAGUGGGCGUCUCCUGGGAGUCGGUCUGCUUGAGAACGCAGACCUAAGUGGGUGGUAAACUCCAUCUAAGGCUAAAUACGACCACGAGACCGAUAGCGCACAAGUACCGUGAGGGAAAGGUGAAAAGAACUUUGAAGAGAGAGUUCAAGAGUACGUGAAACUGGAGAGGUGAAAACGGAAGUGGCUCGAAAUUCCGAACGGUGGUGUUCAGUCUCACCGACCUCGGCGCCCGCGCCCGGGAGGACCCAAGGGCAUCCGCGGUCACGGCGCGCGUCGGCCCCCCCGCUCUGCGGGGGUGUGUCGGCCGCGUCGCCCGCGGUGCCCCUCCCGGUUUUGCGAUGGGAUCGGCUCGGGGCGGUGUGGAUGCACUCGCUGCCGUAGUAGGAUGUCGCGACCCGUCGGUGCGACGGUCAGUGAGGCCCUGGGGAGGCCAGCCCGGUGUCCGCGCGUCACGCACCCCUGGGGUAAAAUGCGUGCAGUACGGCCCGGACUCCCCGGUGUUCCUCUCCGUCUGCCCGGCGGUAUCGAAAGCGCGCCGGCCGCAGCCCCCCGCUGUAUCACGGCCCCAUGGCUGAACCGCCGAGGCGCCUCCCGCGGGCGCGGUCUCCCCUCGUGGGUGCCGCGCCUCUCGCGGGGCCAAAGGCGUCGGAGCGGUCCCCAGUUCGGGCAUGGCGGGGUGUGCGUAUGAAAGUCGGCCGGCUCGUCUGCGGCAUUGCCUGAUUCGGGUCCACUUCCGACCCGUCUUGAAACACGGACCAAGGAGCGUAACACAUGCGCGAGUCGAAGGGUGCUACUAAACCCGGAGGCGAAGCGAAAGCAUAAGGGGCGAUGGCAGAGUGCGGUGGUGACGCGGUGCGUGUUCGGCCCUCACGGGUCGACUCGCGUCCCGCCACCGUCCUUGGUCGUGCUCUCCGGUCGCGGUGUCAAGCCGCCUCCGGAUCCGGCCGGCCGCANCCCGGGGCACCUCAUACGGCUCUGCGGUCCUCUCCCGGUGGGGGUUCCUCUCUCUCUCGGCCAACGGCUUCGCAGCCCCGCGUGUCGGUCGCGAGGUACGGGCCCCUCUAUCGGGGUC
rnacentral:rRNA from 1 species